AUGGACCUCAUGGGCAGGAACGUGCAUCAGCGCUGGUUCCUCCUCUUUCUGCUGGCAGCUCCUGGAUGUAUCCUAUCCCAGGUACAGCUGCAGGAAUCUGGACCAGGCCUGGUUACGCCCUCGCAGAUGAUGUCCCUCACCUGUUCGGUCUCUGGAUUCUCAUUAACCAGUGACCAUGUGCACUGGGUCCACCAGACCCCUGGAAAGGGGCUGGAUUGGAUUGGUGUUAUGUAUACUGAUGGGGGAACAAACUAUAACCCAAGUCUUAAGUCCCGAGUCAGCAUCUCCAGGGACACCUCCAAGAACCAAGUUUACCUAAAACUGAGCAACUCACUGACUGAGGACACAGCCGUGUAUUAUUGUCCCACCCUGGUCGUUUCCAGUUUUGAUAUCGGCAUUGAUGUGUUGAGAGGAUCCACCACUGUCCUUCUGAUUGACAUUUCCCUGGCAGUCAUUGCUGUUAAACACUUCUAUGCCUACAGCCCACGGGGAUGUCUCCUCUAG